rnacentral:rRNA from 1 species
CGUAGGCGGAUCAGAAGUAGGGGUGAAUCCCAGGGCUCAACCCUGGAACUGCCUCCUAAACUCCUGGUCUUGAGUUCGAGAGAGGUGAGUGGAAUUCCAAGUGUAGAGGUGAAAUUCGUAGAUAUUUGGAGGAACACCAGUGGCGAAGGCGGCUCACUGGCUCGAUACUGAC